GGUUCCAGCUUUGCUAAUGGGUUUGGCACAACAGGCGUUAACGACUGGCCGCUACUCGAUGCUCCUCAGUCGGAUGGAAACAUUAUUGCUCGCGCGAAAGGACUCCACAUCCAAGCUAACCAGGCGGGCCAUGGUUGGUUUUCUCCGUUCAGCAUGGUCUUUCAGGAGCAGGACUCCAGGUACAAAAGAUCUACCCUACAAGUGAUGGGGAUGAUUGGCCCUGAGGCUACCGGUGAGUGGGCAAUCGUAGGCGGGACUGGAAAAUUAUCCAUGGCUCGUGGUAUUAUCAAGUACAAGUUUCCCCAGAUCGUGACGAGCUUUGAGAAUUAUAGGCAGCUUGAUAUUCAUGCAUUCUACACCCCACAAGCUGUUUAAGGUUCAGAGAACGAAUGAAGCUAGGUUCGAUGCUUGGGUCUGUACAUCCAGCCAGCCAUUUCCCAAAAUUAAUGUCUGCAUGCUUCCAAUAUGACUAGUACUACUAGUUUUAUCAUGAAUGAUAUGAGACGAUUUUUCCUUUAUUUAUUUGGAAAUAAUUUUUGAAUUUGUAGGCUAUGAUGAUCAAUCC